rnacentral:tRNA from 2 species
GAUGUAGCCAAGUGGAUCAAGGCAGUGGAUUUGUGAAUCCAC